AAAAAAGGACGCAUCAAACAGAAGCAACAAAAAACAUUCAUUGCACAUGCUGUUAGCUGACCAAUUUCGGCCAAAGAAGAAAGCCAGUUUCGACUAGAGAACUUGUCGGAGCAUCCUCGACAGGAUGGUGGACGUGUCCAUAGGUCGACAUAUGCAAGCGUCGGUCGAAGUCAAAGGGCUUGAAUGGUGAAGGUGGGUAGUUAUUUAUCAACAUGUGGGAAAGUGGACCAACGCGUGGCAUCAUGAGAUAGUUUUGUAACCUCCAAAAGGUUAUUUCCAAUUAGUAUUUAAGUCAGUGUUAUGUGAGAUUCUGAGAGGUGGCAUUUUGAAAAUUUGCAGUAGGAGUAAAACUUGAAGUAUCAAAGCGUUUACGAGAAAAGAGUCAAUCUCCUCACAAAAAUUUACUUUGCUUCCAUUUUACAUUUACAAGUCAUUUAGUUUUUACCCAAAUUUACCUUUGAUUUCUUGCUUUUCUAUUUAUACACUCUUGUUUGUCUUAUUUUUACCAUAUCCCUAACUCAUCAAGAGUUACGUUUACACUCUUUAAACCUUUCAAAAACAUUGUUUACCAAAACACCAUACACUCAAAACACUAAGUCCAAGACUUUGUAGCCAGUCCUGCAAGUAACCCUCUUAUAGGAAGGCUAGAGAUUGUUGACGAACCAAAAAAUUGGCACACCUGGUGGGACCUCAACAAUGUUAAGUGUAUGCGAUUGCGCAGUGGAAAAAUGACGUCUCCUAGACCCCAUGAAGAAGCAUCUUCGGCGGGAGACACACCGACGCCCCAGGCUGUCGAUAUCGGCUCUAGCAUGGCGUCGACGGUUUCGACAGCAUUUGUAGGGUCAAUUCCAACGUUGUGUUAGCCACAAACGCCGACACCAACAACCAUGGGAACUAUUGGGCAACAUAUGCCCAGUUUCAUGGUCCCUAUGCACCGACCGUUGGGAAUUCCGACUGAGUUUAUGGAAAAUAUGCAUAAUCUCGGUUCGACUUACAACGAUACCUUAUCAUCACCAUUCCCUCACUACCAGGGGUUUAGACCUUUGGAAACCCUAUUUGGUCAACACCCAAGUUUAGGUCAGUCAGUCCCAACUUUUACGUCAAGUUAUAUCGUUGUUAUGAGACAACAGAUGGACGAGAGUAACCAUGAAAUGAUACACAUGCUAACUCAGCAAAUGGGUACCAUAUUGAGGACAUUGAUCCAGGAUUCGACGCAGAGUUACCAACAGUUGGUAACCCAAUGACAAGGACAAGAGACUUUUUGGGAGCCCCAAGGGCUCAGGUCCGUCGGAAUCCUAC
rnacentral:lncRNA from 1 species